AAAUGAUAAAAUGAAUAGCCAUGUUAUUUCAUUUGAUCAUAUUCUUUCAUUUUUAUACUUUACGUCUCAUACUUCUCUUACUUUGUUUUUGUUUGUUAUACAUGGGCUGGAUGUUGUUGCUAUAUGGUUCGAGAUGGGCUUGUACCAGGGAACCUGUUGUUGCAGUUGGGCUUAUAAAGAUUGCAAGGACCAGGGAACUAUUGGGCUUAUUCUUGAAGGCCUGUGGUUUGUUAAGUGUGUUAUAACAAAAACAAAUCCGGGUUAUCCGGAUCAGAUAUAACAUACCAUACCCGAGUUGGCUAUAUAUAAUUUUGUACCCGAGUGUCAUAAGGGUAUCUGAGAUUUUUUCCUUCUCUCUCGUUUGUUCUCUCAGUUUGGCGAUUUAGGGUUUCAUACGACAAAUCUCGUCGGUUUGCUGAUUAAUCUUUGAUUCUUGUGUUCGUGUAUGUCGAUCGUCAAGUUGAUGAUCGUCUGAGAGUUCGAGAGCGUGUCUCAGUUCAUCUUUCAGUUGUAAUUUUAAAUAUUCAGGUUUUUUGGGUUUUUAUAAAUUCUCUUGUUUGGUUAUUCUUGUGUUGGUUCAGAGGAUACCAUCAUUUUGACAUGGUAUCAGAGCGUUCAUAAGCUCUUGGGUGUAUUUUUUGUUCCGCUGUGUUUUUCUAGAGUUGGAUCGGUUCAGGUCUAACUGGAUCUGACUUGGAUCGCUUCUGGUUGACACCGAAUCGGUUCUUGGAGUGCGUGCUUUGUGAAGAUAUUUGGGGAUCUUGAAGGUUCGAAACCCUAAUCUAGGGGCUGUACUCGAGACAGAAUUACAUCUCUCCAGUUUCUUCUUUCUCUCAUGAAUUAGGGUUUGUUACUGUAAAACUUUGAUCCGUUGUUUGUCGAAGUUUAUAACAUAGAUCCGGUUGUAAUUCACUAGAGAUUAUCACUUUCAUAAUCUCUUUGUUGGUGAGAGUGUUUGAGAGGUCUGUUCUUGUGUUUUUUUGUUUCAAACAGUUCGUUUCGUCUUCGAUUCCUGGGUUGUAAUAUUUGAUUCAAGAUUUGUAUUUAUUUGUUUGAGAUACCAGUUCUCUUUGGGUUGUUUUUCGCUUCUAUUGCUAUUAUCGUUCGUGGUAGUCUCUGAUUAGGAUUCACAUUUUUGGGGUUUCUUGUUCUUCUUGGGGUAUUGUCUCAGAUCCGUGUUUGAUCGAAGCAGAUUUGUGUAGAUUAUGAGGAAUCCUUGGAGUUUGUGGCAGUUCAUAAGAUCUGCUAAUUCCGGAUCUGUUACUCUGGUUUAGAUUUGUAAAGAUCAUUGAAGAUCUGGGCUAUUGUAUGCUGUUGAAGAAGGUUGAUCUGAGCCUUGGCAGACGAACAUAUUCAUCUCUUUUUUCUCUCCAUCAGCGCUUCAUUGCUAUUACCGGCGCAAGUGAGAGAGUUGCUCUACAGGCUUUGAAGGUGAGUGAUUGGUAUCUUGAAGGAGCAAUCGAUGUAUUCUAUAGUCAACCCCGAGUCCAGCAGACAUCUACAGAUUCAAGACAUCUCGAGAAACUCUACAACAGAUACAGAGAUCCUUAUGCUGAUAUGAUUUUGGCUGAUGGUAUUAACACCCUAUGCAAUGACCUAAUGGAAUUUAUCGGUGGCUUGCAAUCUCUCGGGAUAGAUAUGUUGGAGAGGUUUUGUGAGCGUUUACCAUAUAUACGUUCUGAACUAAGUGAUAACCAGAAGUUCAAGGAGAUCUUUGGAGUUAUUGCUCUGUUUAGGAUUCAAUCCUUGAAGAUUGUAAAAUCCUAACCAGAUUUGGAGAAACCCUAACAUGGGUUUAUCAUCCGGGUGAGAUCUCUCCUUGAUUAAACUUUCCUUGUUUGUCUUAUUUACUCAUUUUUUAAUUUCUUGAUAAUUGAUGCCGGGGUAGUUUGGACCGGUUUGUUUUUAAUUGGGACACAGGACGGGUCACAUCCUGUUGCAUUCAUCUUUUGUGCAUAUUUGGGGAUUGUUUUUGACGUUAAUAUAAGUACAGCAUCUGUGCUAAGACUUGAGUACAAUCUCUUGCAUUGUUUGUGUUUUUUUUUGUGGUUCUAGUGUAGUUAUUUUUCCGGCUUGUUUACCGAUUGUGUUAAUGUUGGACUAUUAUUGUUGGUCUAGGUCCAAAAGGCUUUCUUGAUAGGUCUGCGGAGGCACCUUUGAGUGAUGAACCUCUGAACGGGCUCGAUGGCUUGGUUUUGCCUUAUGUGAUUUGUUUUGUUUAUAGAUUUCUUAACCAAUCUAUUAUGUGGAAAAAAGUUAUUAAAGUUGUGAAUAAGUGUGUCUAAGUAUUUGAUUGACUUGGAAAAUAUUGUUUACAAACCAAGGUUUAUAUCAAUUUCUUCAAAUAUGUCGUCAAGUGUUUUCUAACUUGUUGUUUAUCAGCUUGUCGUGUGCAUUUGAGUCUAGGGUUCUUGUGUAUAUUGAAUCCGUGUUUGUUCAAGAAUUGAUUAUUUGAAGGUAUAGAAUACAAUCUUGUAGAGUUUAUACUCAUAGUUCCUGUUGGUAGUUUCGAUCUCUUUGUUUUUUUUUUUUUGGUUCAAUAACUAUACACAUGGUGUUUUCUUGUUAUUUGAUCAUUAUGCAUAUAUGCUAUGAUUAUAGAAUCCUGUAGUUCUCAUUUUUGUUACUGAUGUAUAAAUUUCUGGUAAUAUAAAUUCUGUGAAUGUUGAAUUCAGACGGUUGUGUUCAUUUGUCAAAAAUUAUUCUUGAUGUUACGAGCCGAUGUGACGUGAAUUUUUUAUCUUGGUUCAUGUGAUUAGUUUGUGUCUUGAACGGUUUAAAUGUCUUUCGAGUGUGGUCUGUAUGUCUACUUGUCUAUAAUGUUGUUGAAUGGUUAGCUUGAUAGCUUGACCUAUUUGUCUUAUUGUUUGGUUAGUCGAGCUGUGUGGCUCACGUAUUUUGAUCACCAGUACUGUCAGGAUUGUUUUUGAAUGUUUUUUACAGCUUUGUAUUUGUUCUCGUGUGUGAGAUGUAUGUUCCAGUUGCAAAUCGUGUGAUUUUGUAUUUUGUUGGAACUUGUUUUGCUGUAUCUUGUAGACUUAUGUAUACAUUGUUACCAGUCUUGUUGCUUGAAUCUUGUGAUUCAUUGGUUUUAAAAGUCAUGUGACUUUUAUAUAUUAUCAGAUGUGUGUCUGAUGAUGCUUGAACAAACAUGUAUUCCUUUGGUUAUUGGGAUCGCUGUGUGUUUGUUUUUCUUAUAAAGGUUAUGUUAUCUUAAAGAUGUAAUCUUCCAUGGUGUUUGUCUUUAUCUCACUGGUCUAGGAUUUCUUAUGUUUUGAGUCCGAUCGUAGUGAGGUUUGUGUAGGAUCAUUGUGUUGGUGAUCUUAUUUGUUUCUUAUUCGUCUCUUUGAGACUUCAUCGUCGAUCGUAGUGAUGUUAGUUCACUGGUCUAGGUGAUGCUUGUUUUUCUUCCACACUGGUCUAGGGUCGUGUGUAGAUUCUUCGUGUUGUUGAGUCUAGUCCCGUUAGAUCGUAGUGUUGGUUUUCUUGAAUCUUGUGAUUCGAUAUUUUUUGUGAAGUUGUAAAAGUUUUUGCUUGAAUCAAAUUAGUCUUUAAGCUCUUUAUAAGUUGUAAAAGUUUUUGUUCAAGUCAAAUUAGUCUUUAAGUUCUUCACAAGUGUUGUUUUUCAGACGUGGUUCUGAAGUUUAAAAGGUCAUGUGACACUUCUGUUUUAUCGGAUGUGAAUCUGAUAGUGGUUUUGGAAUCUUGUGGUUCCAUCUUUGUUUGAUCAGAUCUAUGAAUCUAGAUCUAUGAAUCUGAUUUGGUUAUAGAAUCUUGUGAAUUCAUUGUGAAUUUGAACAUGUUUCCUACUAUGUUUGACUUUUUCAUAUAAUUGAAAGUUCUUAUGUAUGUUUGUUGGCGCCUGGUUAGUAAUUCAACUGAAAGUGGAUUUAGAGUUCACUUCUUCAUUAUGAAUUUUAUGCAUUCGUUGACACUGAUAUUUGACAUGUUUUUGUUCUAACAAUGUUCCGUGUGUUACGGAGUCCGUAUACGGAAUCACAUGAUAUGGUUCUAUCAUCGUAUUGAAUCGUGUGAUUCAGGUAUUCAGGCGUUGUUCUGAAUUUUAUAGUCUUGUGAGACUUUGUAUUAUCGGAUUGUUUCCAUGAUAAAAUCCAGUAAUUUGUUUUUGAUCAGAUUAUGUUUUAUUUUUCCUGAUUGGUUUCUUUCUGGUUUUAAGACUUGAUGAAUGUCUAAUGAUAUGUGGUUUUUUUAUUUCUCAGUGAAGGCUUUAAAGUUCAUUUGCUGAUUAAUAAUCUUAAUUCAAAAAGUUUUAUCAUUUCUUUGAAGAAAAUCUUAGACGUUUCACUUGAUUUAUUGGUUUCAAAUUUUUGGCGCUCUCUAAAAAAUUAUUUUGUGAACUUGAUAUUGUACUCUAAGAUAGUAUUUAGAAUGUUCUAAAUUUGAAAAGUUGUUGUGCAUUUGAAUCAGGUAACCUUUUAAUGUUUGUUGCAUUCGUGAGAAAUAAAAACCUCAAGCAACAUGAAAUGUCCGAAAAAGAAGGGAUCUGGUUCGGCUGCAGAUGGCUGGGCAGAUUUGGUUGCAGAUGGUUCAGCAGGUUCGGCUGCAGAUGGUUCAGCAGGCUCGGUUGCGAAUGGCUCGGAUGGUUGAUCAUUGGUUGAUGGCUCGGAUGCGGGUUCUGGUUUCUUGAUGGUCCCAACCUUAACGUACUUGCUCAUGAACUUGUAUUCCCAUUCUUGCAAUGCCUCGAGCUCAAACACACCGAGACCAGUGAGAUCACCGUUCAAGCCUUUCUCUUCAAACGAAUUUUGGCUAGAGCUCUACUAGCAUCUUUCCCUGCAAAUAGUGCGUAAGGUCCACCUGGUUCGUAAAACACCUGCUUUAUAUUUUGAAUAUAUUUUGAAAUUUGUACAUUUUCAUCUUAAGUUGGGAUUGAGUAUUUGUUUCAUGAUAUUCAUGUUUUUUUUCUUUCCAACUGAACUUUCGUUUUUAAUUAGUUGAAAGGUUGAAACAUGUUUGGUGUAUUUGAGUAUAAAAAUGAGGGGGGGUGUUAAAAUGAUAAAAUGAAUAGCCAUGUUAUUUCAUUUGAUCAUAUUCUUUCAUUUUUAUACUUUACGUCUCAUACUUCUCUUACUUUGUUUUUGUUUGUUAUACAUGGGCUGGAUGUUGUUGCUAUAUGGUUCGAGAUGGGCUUGUACCAGGGAACCUGUUGUUGCAGUUGGGCUUAUAAAGAUUGCAAGGACCAGGGAACUAUUGGGCUUAUUCUUGAAGGCCUGUGGUUUGUUAAGUGUGUUAUAACAAAAACAAAUCCGGGUUAUCCGGAUCAGAUAUAACAUACCAUACCCGAGUUGGCUAUAUAUAAUUUUGUACCCGAGUGUCAUAAGGGUAUCUGAGAUUUUUUCCUUCUCUCUCGUUUGUUCUCUCAGUUUGGCGAUUUAGGGUUUCAUACGACAAAUCUCGUCGGUUUGCUGAUUAAUCUUUGAUUCUUGUGUUCGUGUAUGUCGAUCGUCAAGUUGAUGAUCGUCUGAGAGUUCGAGAGCGUGUCUCAGUUCAUCUUUCAGUUGUAAUUUUAAAUAUUCAGGUUUUUUGGGUUUUUAUAAAUUCUCUUGUUUGGUUA